rnacentral:rRNA from 1 species
CCUACGGGAGGCAGCAGUGAGGAAUAUUGGUCAAUGGGCUUACGCCUGAACCAGCCAAGUCGCGUGAGGGAAGACUGCCCUAUGGGUUGUAAACCUCUUUUGUCAGGGAGCAACGCCGGCUACGUGUAGCCGGACUGAGAGUACCUGAAGAAAAAGCAUCGACUAACUCCGUGCCAGCAGCCGCGGUAAUACGGAGGAUGCGAGCGUUAUCCGGAUUUACUGGGUGUAAAGGGAGCGUAGACGGUUAUGUAAGUCUGGAGUGAAAGCCCGGGGCCCAACCCCGGGACUGCUUUGGAAACUGUGUAACUUGAGUACAGGAGGGGCAGGCGGAAUUCCUGGUGUAGCGGUGAAAUGCGUAGAUAUCAGGAGGAACACCGGCGGCGAAGGCGGCCUGCUGGACUGAAACUGACGUUGAGGCUCGAAAGCGUGGGUAGCAAACAGGAUUAGAUACCCUUGUAGUC